rnacentral:piRNA from 1 species
UGAAGUUGGCCUUAGCGAAGCGUGCACGCCU